CGAACGCUGGCGGCGUGCUUAACACAUGCAAGUCGAACGGUGAAGCUCCAGCUUGCUGGAGUGGAUCAGUGGCGAACGGGUGAGUAACACGUGAGCAACCUGCCCCUGACCCUGGAAUAAGCGCUGGAAACGGCGUCUAAUACUGGAUACGAGAAGGGUCCGCAUGGGCACUUUCUGGAAAGUUUUUCGGUUGGGGAUGGGCUCGCGGCCUAUCAGCUUGUUGGUGAGGUAAUGGCUCACCAAGGCGACGACGGGUAGCCGGCCUGAGAGGGCGACCGGCCACACUGGGACUGAGACACGGCCCAGACUCCUACGGGAGGCAGCAGUGGGGAAUAUUGCACAAUGGGCGAAAGCCUGAUGCAGCGACGCCGCGUGAGGGAUGACGGCCUUCGGGUUGUAAACCUCUUUCAGCAGGGAAGAAGCGAAAGUGACGGUACCUGCAGAAGAAGCACCGGCUAACUACGUG
rnacentral:rRNA from 1 species